AGCUUGAGCCCAGGAGUCUGACACCAACCUGGGCAACAUGGUUAUACCUGGAAGGAUUCACAGCAAUAUGUUACCUGUGGAAUGUCCAGGCUGGGGAUGGGCAGUGUGAGAAUACCUGUCAUUUUAUGAGCAUGCUUCAUAUAGUUUGGAUAUCAUACUUAUGUAUCAGGCGUAUUUUAAAAAUAAUCACAUAGGUGUUACAUAGGUUCUUUAAAUACAAUCUCAAACACAGGGGCUGGCUUCAGAGCAGGGGUUGAUUUAGAGGCUUGAACGGCAGUUGCUGGCCUCCAGGCAUCCCCGGGAUUCCCCAAGGUGGGCACACAGACCCUCCUGGGGUGGGGUGUGUAUACCAGAGCUGAGCAAACCCAGAGCUGAGCAUGCAGCCCCCUUCUGUCUCUGCAGUUCUGCCCUCCAACCUUGGGGAACAUAAAAAAGGCCUGUUUCCCUUACAGGACCCUGGGCACCUAUCCCAUUAUCCCCUGGCAACUGGAGUUGGAAGGCUUAUCUAGGAUACCUCAAUUUGACCCCCAGUCCAGAAAGAGGUGUGUGGUAUAGACCAGACUCUAAUGUGAAAACAGAUCACCUGGGGAUCUUGCAAAUGCAGCUUCUGAUUGAAUAGGUCUAGGGUAGGACCAGAGAUUCUGCACUUCUAGAAGCUUCCAAGUUACACCGAUGCUGCUAGUCAACAGAAUAUACUUUAGAUAGCAAGGGUCAAGAUCAAUGAUUCUCAAAAUGCAGCCUCAGACCAGCGGCGUCAGCAUCACCUGGGAACUUGUUAGAAAGGCAAAUUCUAGGCUCCACCCAAGACCUGGGUUUGGAGCCCAGCAAUCCGUGUUUUAACAAGCCCUCCAGGUGAUUCUAAUGCACACCUGUGAGAACCACUGGUGUAGCGGAAGGAGCACUCACCUAGGAGACAGGGAACCCACGUCAUAGCUCAAGCUUGGUGACACCUUACACAAUUGUUUCCCCUCUCUGAUCUCAGUUUCCUCAUCUGUAAAAUGGGGACUGUUGAGUUCUGUCUUGCAAAUUUAGUGCAUAUUUGAAAAAAAAAAAAAAAAAAA